GGUGAACGCUAGCUACAGGCUUAACACAUGCAAGUCGAGGGGAAACGACAUCGAAAGCUUGCUUUUGAUGGGCGUCGACCGGCGCACGGGUGAGUAACGCGUAUCCAACCUGCCCACCACUUGGGGAUAACCUUGCGAAAGUAAGACUAAUACCCAAUGACGUCUCUAGAAGACAUCUGAAAGAGAUUAAAGAUUUAUCGGUGAUGGAUGGGGAUGCGUCUGAUUAGCUUGUUGGCGGGGUAACGGCCCACCAAGGCGACGAUCAGUAGGGGUUCUGAGAGGAAGGUCCCCCACAUUGGAACUGAGACACGGUCCAAACGCCUACGGGAGGGAGCAGUGAGGAAUAUUGGUCAAUGGGCGAGAGCCUGAACCAGCCAAGUAGCGUGCAGGAUGACGGCCCUAUGGGUUGUAAACUGCUUUUAUAAGGGAAUAAAGUGAGUCUCGUGAGACUUUGUGCAUGUACCUUAUGAAUAAGGACCGGCUAAUUCCGUGCCAGCCGCCGCCGUAA
rnacentral:rRNA from 1 species